rnacentral:lncRNA from 1 species
GAGCUGCAUACCCACAGGCCUCCAGUCAAUCUGUGCAAGAGAAGGGCCAUAGACUCCUGCCUGAUCUCCUGUGGUGACCCCACUCUCACUCCAGUCAGUCCCCAUGCACUGGGAACCUGGCCACACCCUUUCUGUUUCAGGUCACUGGUGGACCGUUGCCCUACACUCCCUCUAUCUCCCUAAGGGUCUUCCCACUCUCCCUGUCACUUAGGGAAGCCCCCGACCAUCUGCUCCCUACUCAGCUUCACAGCAUCUGGGCCUUUCUCGCUCGCUGGCUGCUUGGUUGUCCACCUCUGCUGCCUGGACACCAGGGGCAAGCAAGAUCGUGGUUUGUGGAUGGUUAUGUUGUCCAGCUUCUCUCCAUGCAUAGCACACAGUAGAUGCCUAAUAAAUG